rnacentral:rRNA from 1 species
UACGGAGGGGACUAGCGUUGUUCGGAAUUACUGGGCGUAAAGCGCACGUAGGCGGAUUUGUAAGUCAGGGGUGAAAUCCCGGGGCUCAACCUCGGAACUGCCUUUGAUACUGCAAAUCUCGAGUCCGGAAGAGGUGAGUGGAAUUCCUAGUGUAGAGGUGAAAUUCGUAGAUAUUAGGAAGAACACCAGUGGCGAAGGCGGCUCACUGGACCACAACUGACGCUGAGGCGCGAAAGCGUGGGGAGCAAACAGG